GAUUUAUAAAGAAGUAGCGAGAGACUGGCUCUAUGACCUACUGGCAACCUUCAUCAAAUGAAAAGGUGCCAAUUCCAGACUCUUAAAUAAGAGGACUAUAAAAA
rnacentral:ncRNA from 2 species